AACGAACGCUGGCGGCAUGCCUAAUACAUGCAAGUCGAACGAGAUCUUCGGAUCUAGUGGCGCACGGGUGCGUAACGCGUGGGAAUCUGCCCUUGGGUUCGGAAUAACUUCUGGAAACGGAAGCUAAUACCGGAUGAUGACGUAAGUCCAAAGAUUUAUCGCCCAAGGAUGAGCCCGCGUAGGAUUAGCUAGUUGGUGAGGUAAAGGCUCACCAAGGCGACGAUCCUUAGCUGGUCUGAGAGGAUGAUCAGCCACACUGGGACUGAGACACGGCCCAGACUCCUACGGGAGGCAGCAGUAGGGAAUAUUGGACAAUGGGCGCAAGCCUGAUCCAGCAACGCCGCGUGAGUGAUGAAGGCCUUAGGGUUGUAAAGCUCUUUACCCGGGAUGAUAAUGACAGUACCGGGAGAAUAAGCUCCGGCUAACUCCGUGCCAGCCGCCGCCGUAAGAC
rnacentral:rRNA from 1 species